CCCUUAUCACUUCUUCCGCCGAGCUCGUGUCUAUGAUUAAGCUGGACGGAGAACUGAUAAGGGCC
rnacentral:pre_miRNA from 1 species